UCGGGAUAACACCUGGAAACAGAUGCUAAUACCGGAUAACAACAGAUGAUGCCUAUCAACUGUUUAAAAGAUGGUUCUGCUAUCACUCUUGGAUGGACCUGCGGUGCAUUAGCUAGUUGGUAGGGUAACGGCCUACCAAGGCGAUGAUGCAUAGCCGAGUUGAGAGACUGAUCGGCACAUUGGGACUGAGACACGGCCCAAACUCCUACGGGAGGCAGCAGCC
rnacentral:rRNA from 1 species